ensembl:misc_RNA Metazoa_SRP Metazoan signal recognition particle RNA
GCCAGGCAUGGUGGUGCAUGCCUGUAAUCCCAGCUACUUGGGAGGCUGAGGCAGGAGAAUCACUUGAACUCAGGUGGCGGAGGUUGCAGUGAGCAAAGAUCGCGCCAUUGCAAUCCAGCCUGGGUGACAGAGUGAGACUCCGUCUCAA